AAUAGAUACCCUGGUAGUCCUGGCUGUAAACGAUGACCACUAGAUGCACGCGGGCUCGACCCUGGGUGUGUCGCCGCUAACGCCAUAAGUGGUCCGCCUGGGGAGUACGGUCGCAAGACUAAAACUCAAAGGAAUUGACGGGGACCCGCACAAGCAGCGGAGCGUGUGGUUUAAUUCGAAGCAACGCGAAGCACCUUACCAGGGCUUGACAUGCUCUUGCACCAGCGGUAAUGCGCUGUCCCCUUCGGGGGCGGGAGCACAGGUGCUGCAUGGCUGUCGUCAGCUCGUGUCGUGAGAUGUUGGGUUAAGUCCCGCAACGAGCGCAACCCCCAUCAGUAGUUGCCAUCAGGUAACGCUGGGAACUCUACUGAAACUGCCGUCGUAAGACGUGAGGAAGGAGGGGAUGAUGUCAAGUCAUCAUGGCCUUUAUGCCCAGGGCUACACACGGUGCUACAAUGGGGGCGUACAAAGGGCUGCCACUUAGCGAUAAGGAGCCAAUCCCAAAAAACGCCUCUC
rnacentral:rRNA from 1 species